GCUAUAGUAAGUAAUCAGCCUGAAUGCACUUGUGCUGCUGGAUACGAAGGAACAUCCUGUGAAACUGCCUCAUGUACGACCAAUCCUUGCCAGAAUGCAGGUACUUGUGCAAUAGUAGACGAUCAGCAUCAAUGCACUUGUCAAACUGGAUAUGACGGUAGUUACUGUGAAACAGCAACAUGUGAAACCAAUCCUUGCCAGAAUGGAGGUACUUGUGCUAUAGUAAGUAAUCAGCCUGAAUGCACUUGUGCUGCUGGAUACGAAGGAACAUCCUGUGAAACUGCCUCAUGUACGACCAAUCCUUGCCAGAAUGCAGGUACUUGUGCAAUAGUAGACGAUCAGCAUCAAUGCACUUGUCAAACUGGAUAUGACGGUAGUUACUGUGAAACAGCAACAUGUGAAACCAAUCCUUGCCAGAAUGGAGGUACUUGUGCUAUAGUAAGUAAUCAGCAUGAAUGU